rnacentral:tRNA from 1 species
GUCAGCGUGGGUGUCCAUGGCCGACGUGGCGGGUUCUGCCCCCGCGUCCUCCGGGUCCGGAGCCCGGCGCUCUCGC